rnacentral:sRNA from 1 species
CAAGGAUCGCCCUCCGUCAGCGCGUCGCGCCCACGGAGGUAUUUUUG